rnacentral:piRNA from 1 species
UGUUACUGCCAUCCUCCUGCAGGACUGUAGC